rnacentral:misc_RNA from 1 species
CCAAUAGCGUAUAUUAAAGUUGUUGCAGUUAAAAAGCUCGUAGUUGAAUUUCGGGAUCAAUUUGUCGGUCGUGCCUCGGUACGUACUGGCAUUAUUGGUUUCUCCCUUCUGACGAACCACGAUGUCAUUAAUUUGGUGUCGCGGGAAAUCAGGACUGUUACUUUGAAAAAAUUAGAGUGUUUAAAGCACGCUCACGCUUGAAUACAUUAGCAUGGAAUAAUGAAAUAGGACGUUUGAUUCUAUUUUGUUGGUUUCUAGGAUCGACGUAAUGAUUAAUAGGGAUAGUUGGGGGCAUUAGUAUUCAAUUGUCAGAGGUGAAAUUCUUGGAUUUAUUGAAGACUAACUACUGCGAAAGCAUUUGCCAAGGAUGUUUUCAUUAAUCAAGAACGAAAGUUAGGGGAUCGAAGACGAUCAGAUACCGUCGUAGUCUUAACCAUAAACUAUGCCGACUAGGGAUCGGAUGAUGUUAAUUUUUUAAUGACUCAUUCGGCGCCUUACG